rnacentral:misc_RNA from 1 species
GGAAGGAUCAUUAUUGAAUAAAUGUUGAUAGGCUGUUGCUGGCUCUUGAGAGUAUGUGCACGCAUGUCAUCUUUUAUUUUUUUCCACCUGUGCACUCUUUGUAAGACCUUGAAGUAAUAUAAUUAUCUGUAAAUCAGAUAGGUUGAGGAUUGCUGUGCCUAACCAAAUGAUAAGAGGUGGUCAGCUAUGCCUUGUAUCUAGAUCCUAUGUCACUUUAAACACUCGUUAUAAAUGCAGUAGAAUGUUGAUAUAUAAAAGUUGAAUACAACUUUCAGCAAUGGAUCUCUUGGCUCUCGCAUCGAUGAAGAACGCAGCGAAAUGCGAUAAGUAAUGUGAAUUGCAGAAUUCAGUGAAUCAUCGAAUUUUUGAACGCAUCUUGCGCUCCUUGGUAUUCCGAGGAGCAUGCCUGUUUGAGUGUCAUUAAAUUCUCAACUACACUGACUUUGUUAGUGAAGCUUGGAUUUGGGGGUGAUUUUGUGCAGACCUUGUAAAUGAAGUCCAGCUCCCCUGAAAUUUAUUAGCAGGCAAACCUUUGUAGAGUUAUCUACAGGUGUGAUAAUUUAUCUACAUCUUAGAUUUCUAUGGGAAAUGAGGUUUAUUUCUGCCUAUAGUUCUAAAUGAUGAUCUUGACCUCAAAUCAGGUAGGACUACCCGCUGAACUUAAGCAUAUCAAUAAGCGGAGGAAAAGAAACUAACAAGGAUUCCCCUAGUAACUGCGAGUGAAGCGGGAAAAGCUCAAAUUUAAAAUCUGGCAGUCAUUGGCUGUCCGAGUUGUAAUCUAGAGAAGUGUUAUCUGUGCUGGACUGUGUACAAGUCUCCUGGAAUGGAGCAUCAUAGAGGGUGAGAAUCCCGUCUUUGACAUAGACUACCAGUACAUUUGUGGUAUGCUCUCAAAGAGUCGAGUUGUUUGGGAAUGCAGCUCAAAAUGGGUGGUAAAUGCCAUCUAAAGCUAAAUAUUGGCGAGAGACCGAUAGUGAACAAGUACCGUGAGGGAAAGAUGAAAAGAACUUUGGAAAGAGAGUUAAACAGUACGUGAAAUUGCUGAAAGGGAAACGCUUGAAGUCAGUCACGUUGACUUGGAAUCAACCCUGUUUUUGCUGGGUGUACUUUUCUUGUUAACGGGUCAGCAUCAAUUUUGACUGUUGGAUAAAGAUAUUGGGAAUGUGGCAUCUUUAGAUGUGUUAUAGCCCAGUAUUGCAUACAGCAGUUAGGAUUGAGGAACUCAGCAUGCUGCAAGGCCGGGUUUCGACCACGUUCAUGCUUAGGAUGCUGGCAUAAUGGCUUUAAUCGACCCGUCUUGAAACACGGACCAAGGAGUCUAACAUGCCUGCAAGUGUUUGGGUGGAAAACCCAUGCGCGUAAUGAAAGUGAAAGUUGAGAUCCCUUUGAGGAGCAUCGACGCCCGGACCAGACCUUUUGUGACGGAUCCGCGGUAGAGCAUGUAUGUUGGGACCCGAAAGAUGGUGAACUAUGCCUGAAUAGGGUGAAGCCAGAGGAAACUCUGGUGGAGGCUCGUAGCGAUUCUGACGUGCAAAUCGAUCGUCAAAUUUGGGUAUAGGGGCGAAAGACUAAUCGAACCAUCUAGUAGCUGGUUCCUGC